rnacentral:rRNA from 1 species
UACGUAGGGCGCAAGCGUUGUCCGGAAUUAUUGGGCGUAAAGAGCUCGUAGGCGGUUUGUCGCGUCUGCUGUGAAAACCCAGGGCUUAACCCUGGGCCUGCAGUGGGUACGGGCAGACUAGAGUGCGGUAGGGGAGAUCGGAAUUCCUGGUGUAGCGGUGAAAUGCGCAGAUAUCAGGAGGAACACCGGUGGCGAAGGCGGUUCUCUGGGCAUGUCCUGACGCUGAGGAGCGAAGUGUGGGGAGCGAACAGG